UGGGGAAUAUUGGACAAUGGGCGAAAGCCUGAUCCAGCCAUGCCGCGUGAGUGACGAAGGCCUUAGGGUUGUAAAACUCUUUCGUCGGGGACGAUAAUGACGGUACCCGAAGAAGAAGCUCCGGCUAACUUCGUGCCAGCAGCCGCGGUAAUACGAAGGGAGCUAGCGUUGUUCGGAAUCACUGGGCGUAAAGCGCACGUAGGCGGAUAGUUAAGUCAGGGGUGAAAUCCUGGGGCUCAACCCCAGAACUGCCUUUGAUACUGGCUGUCUCGAGGUCGAGAGAGGUUGGUGGAAUUCCUAGUGUAGAGGUGAAAUUCGUAGAUAUUAGGAAGAACACCAGUGGCGAAGGCGGCCAACUGGCUCGAUACUGACGCUGAGGCGCGAAAGCGUGGGGAGCAAACAGGAUUAGAUACCCCUGUAGUCCCUGAGCGGGCUGGCAAGGCGCAU
rnacentral:rRNA from 1 species